CCCGGGCAUUGCCUCAGUACGGCGAGUGAGCGGCAAAAGCUCAGAUUUGAAACCCUCGGGAUUGUAAUUUGAAGAUUUGGCAUUGGAGAAAGCUAACCCAAGUUGCUUGGAAUAGUACAUCAUAGAGGGUGACAACCCCGUCUGGCUAACCGUUCUCCAUGUAUUGCCUUAUCAAAGAGUCGAGUUGUUUGGGAAUGCAGCUCAAAGUGGGUGGUAAACUCCAUCUAAAGCUAAAUACUGGUGAGAGACCGAUAGCGAACAAGUACUGUGAAGGAAAGGUGAAAAGAACUUUGAAAAGAGAGUGAAAUAGUAUGUGAAAUUGUUGAUAGGGAAGGAAAUGAGUGGAGAGUGGCCGAGGUUUCAGCCGCCCCUCGUGGGCGGUGUACUGCCGACGCCGAGUCAUCGAUAGCGAGACGAGGGUUACAAAUGGGAGCGCCUUUCGGGCGUUCUCCCCUAACCCUCCACACUGCCACCGACGACAUAAUCCACCCAUUUCACCCGUCUUGAAACACGGACCCCA
rnacentral:rRNA from 1 species